rnacentral:rRNA from 1 species
GGGUGUGUCUUUAGCGGAGGGGAAAUACCCGAUCUCAUCCCGAACUCGGAAGUCAAGCCCUCCAGCGUCGAAGGUAGUGCCAGGGAAACUUGGUGUAAGAAUAGAUCGAUGCACCCU